CGCACAUUGCGCCCGCCAGUAUUCUGACGGGCAUGCCUGUCCGAGCGUCAUUUCAAACCUCAAGCUCUUUAUGGCUUGGCUUUGGGGCUUCUGCUUGACCUGUCUUGUGUCUUGCAGGCUCCGAAAGUGCACGGCAGACCUGUUUGGCCCCUGAGCGUAGUAAUAUCUCUCGCUUCUGGGACCAAUCAGAACUCUCGCCUUAACCGCGAAUGUACGGCAUCCGUGUCUACAGGCGCUUACACUUAUACGUUUGACCUCGGAUCAGGUAGGAAUACCCGCUGAACUUAA
rnacentral:misc_RNA from 1 species